rnacentral:rRNA from 1 species
UACGAAGGGGGCUAGCGUUACUCGGAAUUACUGGGCGUAAAGGGCGCGUAGGCGGCGUUCCAAGUUAGGCGUGAAAGUCCUGGGCUCAACCUGGGAACUGCGCUUAAGACUGGAGUGCUUGAGGAUGGAAGAGGGUUGUGGAAUUCCCAGUGUAGAGGUGAAAUUCGUAGAUAUUGGGAAGAACACCGGUGGCGAAGGCGGCAACCUGGUCCAUUACUGACGCUGAGGCGCGAUAGCGUGGGGAGCAAAC